AAGGAUAAGGAGAAUCCAGCCAUUUGUGUUGCUAGAGACUCUUGAGAAGAGAGAAGAUUCUCAAACUCAACAAGAGAGGGUUGAUUAGCCCACCCCUGAAUAGAAGUGACAAAAGGAAUAUAUUCUUUGAUUAAUCCUCGAAUAAUAUUCCUUUUCAUUCGAGCCUCCGAAAUAGGUUCCUCCGGACCAAGAGCAAAAAUUUACGAACAAAUAUUUUUAAUUUUUAAGAAAAAUUCGAAGAUUGAGAGCUCACCUUGAGUAGUUCGUGCCAACUCAUUCUCUAAGUAUUGCAGUCGAGCAACGUUCUUCUUGUUAAGCAAUGCACUUAGAGUAUCCCAAAUCUGAGAUGCAGACUUACACUCAACAAUGUGAUCAAAUAGAUCGUGAGAGNNN
rnacentral:lncRNA from 1 species